rnacentral:rRNA from 1 species
CCGAUGGCGACCGGCGCACGGGUGAGUAACACGUAUCCAACCUGCCGAUAACUCGGGGAUAGCCUUUCGAAAGAAAGAUUAAUAUCCGAUAGGAUAUCAAGGUCGCAUGAUCUUGAUAUUAAAGAAUUUCGGUUAUCGAUGGGGAUGCGUUCCAUUAGUUAGUUGGCGGGGUAACGGCCCACCAAGACGACGAUGGAUAGGGGUUCUGAGAGGAAGGUCCCCCACAUUGGAACUGAGACACGGACCAGACUCCUACGGAAGGCAGCAG